rnacentral:rRNA from 1 species
AUGCAAGUCGAACGAGGCCUUUCUUGUAGCAAUACGGGAAAGUUCCUAGUGGCGAACGGGUGAGUAACACGUAGGUGACCUGCCCCGGAGAGUGGGAUAACUACCGGAAACGGUAGCUAAUACCGCAUAAUCUCGCUGGAGUUAGAGGUCCAGUGAGCAAAGGAGCAAUCCGCUCUGGGAGGGGCCUGCGGCCCAUCAGCUAGUUGGUAGGGUAACGGCCUACCAAGGCGAUGACGGGUAGGGGACCUGAGAGGGUGAUCCCCCACAAUGGAACUGAGACACGGUCCAUACACCUACGGGUGGCAGCAGUAGGGAAUCUUGCACAAUGGGCGAAAGCCUGAUGCAGCAACGCCGCGUGGAGGAUGAAUGCCUUCGGGUUGUAAACUCCUUUUCGAGGGGAUGAGAGAGGACAGUACCCUCGGAAUAAGUCUCGGCUAACUACGUGCCAGCAGCCGCGGUAAAACGUAGGAGGCGAGCGUUAUCCGGAUUUACUGGGCGUAAAGCGCGCGCAGGCGGUUUGGUAAGUCGGACGUAAAAGCUCCCGGCUCAACUGGGAGACGCCGUUCGAUACUGCCAGACUGGAGGGCAAUAGAGGGAGGUGGAAUUCCAGGUGUAGCGGUGGAAUGCGUAGAUAUCUGAAGGAACACCA